rnacentral:rRNA from 1 species
AACGAACGCUGGCGGCAUGCCUAACACAUGCAAGUCGAACGAAACCUUCGGGUCUAGUGGCGCCCGGGUGCGUAACGCGUGGGAACCUGCCCUUAGGUUUGGCAUAACUCUCCGAAAGGGGUGCUAAUACCGGAUCAUAUCUUCUGACCAAUGAUUUAUUGAAUUUGAAUGUACGCGCGUUGAAUUAGCUAGUUGGUAGGGUAAAAGCCUACCAAGGCGACCAUCCAUAGCUGGUCUGAGAGGAUGAUCAGCCACACUGGGACUGAGACACGGCCCAGACUCCUACGGGAGGGAGCAGUGGGGAAUAUUGGACAAUGGGCGAAAGCCUGAUCCAGCAAUGACGCGUGAGUGAUGAAGGCCUUAGGGUUGUAAAGCUCUUUUACCCGGGAUGAUAAUGACAGUACCGGGAGAAUAAGCUCCGGCUAACUCCGUG